AUACGUAGGGGGCAAGCGUUAUCCGGAAUUACUGGGUGUAAAGGGAGCGUAGGCGGCAUGGUAAGCCAGAUGUGAAAGCCUUGGGCUUAACCCGAGGAUUGCAUUUGGAACUAUCAAGCUAGAGUACAGGAGAGGAAAGCGGAAUUCCUAGUGUAGCGGUGAAAUGCGUAGAUAUUAGGAAGAACACCAGUGGCGAAGGCGGCUUUCUGGACUGAAGCUGACGCUGAGGCUCGAAAGCGUGGGGAGCAAACAGGAUUAGAUACCCUGGUAGUCCACGCCGUAAACGAUGAGUGCUAGGUGUCGGGGAGGAAUCCUCGGUGCCGCAGCUAACGCAAUAAGCACUCCACCUGGGGAGUACGACCGCAAGGUUGAAACUCAAAGGAAUUGACGGGGGCCCGCACAAGCGGUGGAGCAUGUGGUUUAAUUCGAAGCAACGCGAAGAACCUUACCAAGGCUUGACAUCCCGAUGACCGCUCUAGAGAUAGAGCUUCUCUUCGGAGCAUCGGUGACAGGUGGUGCAUGGUUGUCGUCAGCUCGUGUCGUGAGAUGUUGGGUUAAGUCCCGCAACGAGCGCAACCCUUAUCUUCAGUAGCCAUCAUUUAGUUGGGCACUCUGGAGAGACUGCCGUGGAUAACACGGAGGAAGGUGGGGAUGACGUCAAAUCAUCAUGCCCCUUAUGUCUUGGGCUACACACGUGCUACAAUGGCUGGUAACAAAGUGACGCAAGACGGCGACGUUAAGCAAAUCACAAAAACCCAGUCCCAGUUCGGAUUGUAGUCUGCAACUCGACUACAUGAAGCUGGAAUCGCUAGUAAUCGCGAAUCAGCAUGUCGCGGUGAAUACGUUCCCGGGCCUUGUACACACCGCCCGUCACACCAUGGGAGUUGGAAGCACCCGAAGUCGGUGACCUAACCGUAAGGAAGGAGCCGCCGAAGGUGAAGCCAGUGACUGGGGUG
rnacentral:rRNA from 1 species